ensembl:lncRNA
AUCUCCAUCCUUCCCAAUCACAGGAAGUUCCUAAGGUUUGCUUUCAGGGGCGAAGCUUACCAGUAUCGAGUUCUUCCUUUUGGUCUAGCACUCUCAGCCCGAACUUUCACGAAGUGUGUGGAUGCUGCGCUGGCUCCACUGCAACUCCAGGGCAUCCGCAUACUAAAUUAUAUCGACGAUUGGUUGAUUUUGGCUCAAUCAGAGCAGAUGGUGGUUCGACAUCGAGAUGUCGUUCUCGCCCAUAUGAAAAAGUUGGGGUUAAGAUUAAACGCCAAGAAAAGUGUACUUUCUCCAUUACAGAGGACCACUUAUCUGGGCGUGGUGUGGGAUUCGACCACGAUGCAGGCACGCCUGUCCCCUGCUCGUAUCGAGUCGAUCCUCACGUCAGUCAAGAGAGUCAGAGAAGGCCAGUCACUCACUGUCAAGCAGUUUCAGAAACUUUUGGGGUUAAUGGCAGCUGCGUCCAACGUGAUACCUCUUGGCCUGCUGUACAUGAGACCCCUACAGUGGUGGCUCAAGACCAAGGGGUUCUCCCCGAGGGGAAACCCACUUCGCAUGAUCAAGGUCACGCGGCGAUGCCUACGUGCCUUAGACAUGUGGAGGAAACCUUGGUUCUUGUCUCAGGGCCCGGUGCUGGGAGCUCCUUGUCGCCGCGUGACGCUAGCGACGGACGCGUCCCUCACCGGCUGGGGUGCGGUCAUGAGUGGCCACCCUGCCCGCGGUCUGUGGAGUGGUCGCCAUCUGACAUGGCAUAUCAACUGUCUAGAGUUGCUAGCAGUAUUUCGAGCAUUGAAUCAUUUUCUCCCAGACCUAAGAGGUCACCAUGUGUUAGUGCGCACCGACAACACAGCGGUGGUCUCUUAUAUCAACCAUCAAGGAGGCCUGCGCUCGCGACCCCUGUACCAGCUGGCACGCCAGAUCCUUGUGUGGUCCCAGGGCAAACUCCUUUCGCUGAGAGCAGUACAUAUUCCUGGGCAUAUGAAUAUGGGAGCAGACAUCCUGUCGAGGCAGGGGCCGAGGCCCGGGGAAUGGAGGCUUCACCCCGAGGUGGUGAAGCAGAUAUGGACUAUAUUUGGUCAGGCUCAGGUGGAUCUGUUUGCGACUCAGAUGACAUCGCACUGUCCCCUUUGGUUCUCUCUAGUUCGUCCAGCUCCUCUGGGACUGGAUGCUAUGGUACAGACGUGGCCGAGGCUUCGUCUGUACGCUUUUCCCCCGAUCGCUCUGCUCCCGGGAGUUCUGGCGAGAGUACGCCAGGACGGGGUCCGUCUUCUAUUAGUAGCCCCGUUCUGGCCGGGCCGAGUAUGGUUCUCAGAUCUGAUCUCGCUCCUCGACGGCUCUCCAUGGGAGAUUCCCAUCAGGAGGGAUCUCCUCUCACAGGCGGAGGGCACGAUAUUCCACCCCCGCCCGGAGCUGUGGAAGUUAUGGGUGUGGCCCCUGAGGGGGCACAUCUCGUAGCUUCUGGUCUCUCAACCGAGGUUGUUGAGACCAUCCUCCAAUCCAGAGCUCCCUCAACGAGGAAACUGUAUGCCUUGAAGUGGAAACUUUUCACUUCUUGGUGCGGAGAUCGCCAAAUUGACCCAGUCAACUGCCCAGUCGGUACAGUGCUUGAGUUCCUGCAGGCCCGUUUCUCCGCAGGGUUGACUCACUCCACCCUGAAGGUCUACGUGGCGGCCAUUGCGGCCUACCACGCCCCUCUCGGUGACCAAUCAGUGGGCAGACACCCCCUAGUUUCACGUUUCCUCCGUGGCACACUGAGGCUGAGGCCUCCGAUACGUUCUCGUGUCCCCACGUGGGACCUGGCUGUGGUGCUAGAAGCUCUUUGUAAGCCUCCUUUCGAGCCUAUUGAAGAAAUUGCUGGCCGCUAUCUUACGAUUAAGACUGCUUUUCUUCUAGCUAUUACUUCUCUAAAGAGAGUUGGGGAUCUUCAGGCCCUCUCAGUGGCCCCUUCCUAUUUGGACUUUGCGCCCGGCAUGGCCAAAGUGUUUCUCUACCCUCGAGCGGGGUAUGUCCCGAAGGUUCCCUCAGUUAUCCCGCAGCCUAUUGUACUGCAGGCCUUCAGUCCUCCUCCCUUCGGGGACCCAGACCAGCAGAAGCUAAACUGUAUGUGUCCAGUGCGAGCACUGGACGCAUACGUCCACAGAGCUGCCAUGUGGAGAAAGGCGGACCAACUGUUUGUAUGCUAUGGUCCCCCUAAGAGAGGUCUUCCAGCCACAAAACAGACCCUCAGUCGGUGGAUAGUGGAUGUAAUUACUACCGCCUAUGAGUCCUCUGAUCUCCCCUCACCAUUGGGAGUCAAGGCUCACUCUACCCGCAGUAUGGCGGCCUCCAAGGCCUUCUUGUCAGGUGUGUCCAUGCAGGACAUCUGCAACGCAGCUGGAUGGUCCACGCCCCUCACAUUUGUCAGAUUUUAUGAUUUAGAUCUGCGAUGCACUCCAGGCUCUUCUGUUCUCUUGCCUUAGCUGUGCUCCCUAUAUACACACUAGGCAGGGACUUGCAAGUCUGGCGGCGUGGGCAUUCUCGUUCCCAUAGCGUUUUUCCGACGCAGCUCGAGUUCCUGAAGGGGAACGUCUCAGGUUACGUAUGUAACCAUGGUUCCCCGAAGGGAACGAGACGCUGCGUCUCUAGGCCAUACUUCCGGCAUCCCUGCCAGAGCUCGCUUCAUUCCUAGAAGCUGAUGCUCGUUCCACCUCACGUGCUUUUAUAGCUUCCUGGUCGCUACGUCACCCACCUAUGACGUCACGCCCAUUCAUGGGACUGAUUACACAUGUUAUUCAGAGCUGGUCACGCUGAAGGGCGUUCCCAUU